rnacentral:misc_RNA from 1 species
GGACGACUGAACCGAAAGGUUCUUGGCUGCUUCGGCAGAGGUACGUCC